rnacentral:rRNA from 1 species
UAAGCAUAUAAUUAAGCGGAGGAAAAGAAACUAACCAGGAUUCCCUCAGUAAGGGCGACUGAAGCGGGAAGUGCUCAGGAUGUGAAUCUGCGCCUUGUUGCGCCGAAUUGUGGUCUGACGACUGUGGCAUUACUGGCCGGGCCAAGUCCCUUGGAACAGGGCAGCUGAGAGGGUGAGACUCCCGUUCGCCUGGCCGGGUGAGCCGCUAGUCUACGAGUCGAGUUGUUUGGGAUUGCAGCUCCAAGCGGGUGGUAAAUUCCAUCUAAAGCUAAAUAUUGGUGGGAGACCGAUAGCGUACAAGUACCGUGAGGGAAAGAUGCAAAGAACUUUGAAAAGAGAGUUAAAGAGUACCUGAAAUUGCUGAAAGGGAAGCGAAGGAAACCAGUGUCGGCUUGGUCAUAUUUCCCUGUCCGCUUGCGGUUUGGGCGCUGUGUCCGGCCUCGGUUGUUCUUGGUUGGGUCUGCUGGAAGAGCGCGGCGAGAGUUGAUCUCCGUUGCUGGCAGCGGUCCUGACUGAGGAGGACGAAAUGGUUUUCUUUACCCCGUCUUGAAACACGGACCAAGGAGUCUAACAUAUGUGCGAGUACAGGGGUGGCAAACCCCCGUGCGCAAUGAAAGUGACAGUGGUUGGACUUUUGCACAAUCCGCCGGCCUCAAUCCCUCGGGAGAACGGUCUGAGUGUGAGCAUACAUGUUGGGACCCGAAAGAUGGUGAACUAUGCCUGAAUAGGGUGAAGCCAGGGGAAACUCUGGUGGAGGCUCGUAGCGAUUCUGACGUGCAAAUCGAUCGUCAAAUUUGGGUAUAGGGGCGAAAGACUAAUCGAACCAUCUAGUAGCUG